AUUGCUUCUGGACGUUUUGGCUAAGAUCAUGUGUAGUUCUUAUCAGUCUAAUAUCUGAUACAUCCUCCAUCCGAGGACAAUAUAUUACAUGGAUUUUUGGAAACAGGACUUGGAAUAGGAGCUUACUCCAUACACACCACACAUCAACCUGGUAUUGCAGUUCUUCUAGGAAUGGUAGACCCUUU
rnacentral:snRNA from 1 species